rnacentral:rRNA from 1 species
UACAGAGGUGGCAAGCGUUGUUCGGAAUUACUGGGCGUAAAGCGCACGUAGUCGGCUUUGCAAGUCGGUUGUGAAAUCCCCGGGCUCAACCUGGGAACUGCAUCCGAGACUGCAUUGCUAGAGUAUGGGAGAGGAAAGCGGAAUUUCUGGUGUAGCAGUUGAAAUGCGUAGAUAUCAGAAGGAACAUCAGUGGCGAAGGCGGCUUUCUGGACCAAUACUGACGAUCAGGUGCGAAAGCGUGGGGAGCAAACAGG